rnacentral:rRNA from 1 species
AUGUCAACAUGAGCAAAUUUGGGCCUUCAAGAUAGAGCUUCCCCUCUAAUAGAACAAUUAACAUUCUUCCACGAUCAUGCCAUACUUAUUUUAAUUAUAAUCACUAUUCUAGUAGGUUAUAUUAUAAUUAUAUUAUUCUCUAAUAUUUACACUAACCGAUUCCUGCUCCAUGGCCAAACUAUUGAAAUAAUUUGAACCAUCUUACCAGCUAUUGUUUUACUAUUCAUUGCCUUCCCCUCACUCCGAUUACUUUACCUUCUAGAUGAAAUUAAUGAACCAAUUAUUACACUAAAAACAAUUGGUCAUCAGUGAUACUGAAGCUAUGAAUAUUCAGACUUUAUUGAUUUAGAAUUUGACUCAUACAUAAUUCCAACAAAUGACCUAUCCACAGAUGGAUUCCGCCUACUAGAUGUCGACAAUCAUAUUGUCCUCCCCAUAAAUACCCAAAUCCGAAUUUUAGUUACAGCUGCAGAUGUAAUCCAUUCAUGAACUAUCCCAGCCCUAGGCAUUAAGGUAGACGGAACUCCGGGUCGAUUAAAUCAAACAAAUUUUACCAUUAACCGACCAGGAUUAUACUACGGCCAAUGCUCUGAAAUUUGUGGAGCAAACCACAGUUUUAUGCCAAUUGUAAUUGAAAGUGUACCUGCUAAUUAUUUCAUUAAAUGAUUACAU